CUCUGGUGGAGGCGCUCCUCCUGCUGCCCCGCCCAGUAGGUUCGUCCGCACCGCUUCUUCCACACCCUUUCUCCCUCCUCCUUCUCCUCGCCCCGCCUUUCCCCUCCCUUCUCCUCAACCCCUCUAGUUCCUUCCCCGCCUCGCCACCUUCCACGAUCUCGCGAGACUUGACCCAGAACAUUGCGGAUCGGGUCGGCGCCAUUUUGGGACUGAGACUGGUUGUGGGGGAGGGAAAAGCGGCAAAAGGGGAUUAUUCAAAGUACCGAAAACCUCCUCCGGGGAUCGAGCGCAGCGGCACCCCCAGGCCAGGGGCACCUCUGGUGUGGCAGAAGGUGAUUGAAUUACUCAUAUAUGAAGAUCAUCUUCUAGGUUUUGUGUAAAAGGCCCCGGAUAUUUGAAGUGGCCAUAUUGGGAUUACAAUGUUUUUGGAUAAUUUUGCCCCAGAAGUUUAUUAAAAGUGGCAAGAAUCAUCUCUGAAGUGAAUUUAUAGUAGUGAACAGUUCUACAAGCUACUUAAAGAGACCCAGGCAUUUCUUCAGUAUUUUGGUUCAAACGGAUUAUAUAACUGGUUAAAUUAUUUCAGCUGGUGGUAUUUUUUUUUNNNNNNNNNNNNNNNNNNNNNNNNNNNNNNNNNNNNNNNNCCCCCUCCUGUAGUAGUCCUUCAGCCAAAACUGUAAGAUAUGUUUGAUUUGUGUACUGAGUAAUUUAGGCAGUUUCAAAUUACUGUUUAAAUAUUGCUGAAGUUUCUUGGCAGUUUAUUUUUUCCUUUAUUAAAAGUUUUAGGAAUUUUUGACCUCAGCCCUUUUCAUGUCACAAUGGGACAGCUUUUCUAAAUGAAGACAUUGAAAGAAUACAGAGUUUUUUCCCUUUUAUCUUUUAUUUACCUGGAAAUUUAAGAUGUUGCAGUUUUCAAGCAGCAUGGUAGUAUUGAGAUAGCUAUGUGUCCCUCUGUAUGCUGAUGUUCUGGAAUGCUCUUCAGAUGUGAAAUUUUCUUUUUGUUUUUGCUUUUUGGCUCAUAAAUUGGAUAUUUCAUCUGGAGUGGAUAAGUACAACAGUGACAAGUACAUGGAAUAAUAAAGAAGACUUUAAAAUCUUAAAUCCA
rnacentral:lncRNA from 1 species